GUGUCAUCCAAAGAGGAAGCUAAGGGAACAACCAAGCAGUGCAACUACAGCUUGAAUCAGCCACAACAACCUCAUUGGCAUCACCAUACAAGAAGUUCAACCGGUGAUGCCGAAGUUCCAAUCUUCGGUUAAAUGAAGCCACACUUGCUGCUGUAGCAAAUAGAUCCAUGCAAAUUUCUCAAGCACUGUAUUGUAAGCGCUAUGUAGUCGGUACAUGCUGUCUCAACUAAACAGAGAUGCACAUGUCAGAUUUCAUGGAGUACGUGGACCUCUUUAAAUGUGAGGACAAAUUGGCAAAGUUUGCCUCGUUCAGAAAGAAAAUUUUGUUUAUGAACUGGGCCAAGCUUUUGCUACUAUCGGUAUUGUGUCAUUAGGAGUGUGGAUGUCUUCUUUGCUUUCUACUUGAGUUUUCAAGCCUGACUUUGUAAAUAAAUCCUCACGGAUUUCUAAUAUAUUUUGUGUCUAGAUAUAUUCUGUAAUUGUACAUGUAUCACAUUUUAUUGCAUUGUUUUUUAUUUUUAAUUUUGUUUUCAAACUUAGUAUAUUUAUUAUUUUAAUAAACAUCAAUUAUUAGUUCUUAAUAAUUGUUUAUGACAGGUAUUUUUUUCAACCAUAUAAAAUUAGCACAACUUCAAAAAUAAAAAUAAAAUAAAAAAAAGGCUAUGGCGGCGUUUUUUGAACGUCACUAUAUCCCUAUUCCAACGGUUAGAUUUUUAAAAUGUAUAAAUGUGUUUGACGGCGUUUCAAAACGUCGCUAAAUGUUAUAGUGAUGUCACAGUACAGUUAGGGUAGGACAUUUGGCGGUGUUUUUAAAAAUGCCGCCUAUACUAAUGUACCGACGUUUUCCAAACGCCAUAAAGCUAUAGCAACGGCCGCUCUUUGGCGUUUGGUACUAAACGUCACAAAAAGAAUUAGCGACGUUUUCAGUACCUAUAGUGGCGUUUUAAAAGUCGAUUUUCCUGCAGUGGAAGAAGAUAGCACUACUAUAGUUUGGUUUCCCUAUAAUGAAUUUGGAAAUAACAAACAAGCCCUCCAUGCCACACUAAUUAUGAAUUACAACAAUGAAUUUAAUCAAAAAAUAAUAUAUAGAUUGGAUUUAUUAAUGUUUUUCUUCUCCUUGGGUUUGGUUCCUCACCAAACUCCUGGGGUGUGCUAGCUUGCUGCUCUCCCCCUCCUUUUUUGAUGUAAUCUCUUUUUUGUAUGGUUUUUGCAUCAAUAAAGAUUCUCUUUUUGCUGAUCAAAAAAUGUAGUAAUUAUGUUUAUUAAUGUUCCAGUUAGCAUUUUCAUUGACAAUAACAUCAUACACUCUUAUUAAUUCACUCUUGGCUUAGCAGCCAAGGAUUUUAUCAUUGUAUGAAGCAAUGCCCUUGGCCAAUAUGGUUCGACACAUGUAAAAAAAUUAUAAAACGUUUUUUUUUUUUUUUUGGGUGUCUCUUUACCAUUGGCAUUUAUCCACUAUAUGCAUUAAUUUUUCAUCCUUACAGUUUUUUUUGGCAGUCUGAUUAAUCUAUUGCUUGGAGCCCAUAUUUGCAAUGCAAAAAUGUAAUUUUAAGCAGAUGAGUGGUGUUUGCUGAUGUCUUCCUAGUUGAUCGUGAUAUUGUAGACAUUUCUCAAUGAGCAAGAAUUUCACAGGCAAGAUUCAUUGAAAUUCAGAAUGACAACCAUUAUGAUGAAAACAUACAAAGAAUACUCAUUGUUGUCAAAUCAAUUCUCCCUAGAUUGACAACAAUCGUUUUUUGUCCAUGAGGAUCCAUCCCGUCAGAAACCAUCAUGCUUUCUACUCCUACUAGGCUAUAUGAACAAGAUGGGAAUCAUUCACAAUGAGUCCAUAAGAAGUGAUCCCAUUUUUUCGUCUAGUUCGGAUAGAUACCAAAGAUCUUGAGCCAACCCAUUCAGCUGAAUAUUACUUAAAAAGAUGAAAGAAGUAUCGGUAAUUUCUUCAUGCUCAUUCCAAGCUCAUCUCAACUUGGUUUGCCUACUGUGGCAUGUAUUUUACUAGUUGCUACCAAAUAUGAAAGUGCCAAAUUCUGGAUAUUCCAAUCACUGAAUUUACUUUUAAGAAGGUAUUUGAUCAUUGUUGUUGUUUCUUGGUUGGAAGAUAUAUAUAAUAAUGGUAUAUUUCAAUUUUUGGCUUAA